ACAGCUUCUAUGAAGUUAGGUGUUCUGAGACGUCUCCACCAGUUUUCCUCACCCCCCCAGCUGCUAACUCUGUACAAGGGCCUUAUCCGUCCAUGUAUGGAGUAUGCUUCACAUGUCUGGGGGGGUUCCACUCAUACCGUUCUUCUGGACAGGGUGGAAUCAAAAACUUUUCGUCUCAUCAACUCCUCUCCUCUAACUGACUGUCUUCAGCCUCUCAUCGCCGCAAUGUUACAUCUCUAGCUGUCUUCUACCGCUAUUUUCAUGCUAACUGCUCUUCUGAUCUUGCUAACUGCAUGCCUCCCCUCCUCCCGCAGCCUCGCCGCAGAAGACUUUCUUCUUUCUUUUAUCCCUAUUCUGUCCAUCUCUCUAAUGCCAGAGUUAACCAGUAUUCUCAGUCAUUCAUCCCUUUUUCUGGUAAACUUUGGAACUCCCUGCCUGCUUCUGUAUUUCCACCUUGCUAUGACUUGAAUUCCUUCAAGAGGAAGGUUUCAAGACACUUAUCCUUCAAUUUUUGACUACCGCUUUUUACCCUUUUCUGGGAGUGGCAUCUCAGUGGGCUUUUUUAUUUAUUGGAUUUUUGUUGCCCUUGGCCAGUGUCCCUCCUACACACAAAAAAAAAAAAAAAUAGAUAAAUAAAUUAGAAUAUGCUGGCCAUUUGUCAGAAUGAGAAACCGAAUUUUCCGCAGCUUCUCUUUGAAUUAUGGGUUCCAGUGUUUAACAAUUUUUUUUUAAAUUUGUAAGGAAAAAUAGCGGCAAUCUCCACCUUUCUUCAAUUCGAAGUCCCAGGGACCAGCAAUGGGGAGUUUUCGGAACUAAACAGCUAGAUGUCGUUGCUGCUCAUCUAACUGUGGGAAAGAGAGCUAAAAUAUUGUUGUAGUAAAUCCCAGGUGCGUAAAGAUGCAUAGAACAUUGAUCAUCAUGAUACUAUUGAAAUGAUGUAUCGACUUUUCAAUAUCCGGUAUAGAUAAUGUUGAGAGAAUGUGGUCAAAUUAAUAAUUUUUUUGGUGUGUGAUUAUUGAGUAAACUGCUAGCAUUAUCUUAAAUAAAGCAUAUUACAAGUAUAAAAACUAUUGAUUUGGACAAUGAGAAAAAAAAUCACACUGUACUUUAUAGUAUGACACAACCUACUCAUUAACAUCGUGAUAUAUGGUUCGUUUUUUUUUUUUUUUUGUGGGGAUUUUAGCAUCCCUCUCACGAAGCGAGCGACAAGGCAAGGUAAUCAAGAACCAAACCAAACACCUCUCAGGCGAUCCUGCUGUUGCUGUAGUGUCCAGCUGCCGUAAUCCAUUGCUUAGGGCGUAGUGGAGAUGGGCACCGCAGCAACAUUCAACUUCUUGUCCAACAACGUGUUUCUUAAGUUCAACCAGCGCGGCCGAGUCAGGUGUUGGUUUUGGUUAGAGAUAUAGCAUUACUAUCGCCAGGACACUCGAGUUGCCAAUUUUUUUUUAUUAAAAUUGCCGUUUCCAUAAACUAGGAAGGAGAUCUAUGUAAUUUGGACUUUUGACUGUCACAGACGUGUUGCCUUUAUGUUUACUGUCGUCUAGAUUAAGACGUUUCCAAUCAAGAGUGUAUUCAUUUCGAAAUCUUAAGAUGACCAAAUAAAUCUAAAUGCCGAUUCACUAGAAAAUCAACUUAUAUACAUUUGUUCAUGAAAAGAGUUUGAUUUUACUUGUGUUACUACUCAGAAGGGAUUACGUAGAAAAUAUAUUAUAUAAGCUCAUUGCAUCUUCAUGUAAAUAGAAUAACACUGUAGGUAUAACUGAUAUUGCUUGUAUGUGAGAAAAGAGUUUGUAUGUUGCCACCUGGUGACAGCCACUAGUUCUGAAAACUCCCCAUUCGUCUUCCACGGUUUCGGUUGUUUUCUACUUCAACCUCGUUGUCGUUUGAUUCUGGAACAUUCUGGACUGGAGCAUCGGCAUUAGAACAGACAUUCCACUCAUUUUUUUUUUUUUUUUUUUUUAUGUAGGAAGGAUACUGGCCAAGGGCAACAAAAAUCUAAUAAAAAAAAAAUGCCCACUGAAAUGCCAGUCCCUUAAAAGGGUCAAAGCAGUGGUCAAAAAUUGGUGGAUAAGUGUCUUGAAACCUCCCUCUUGAAGGAAUUCAAGUCAUAGGAAGGUGGAAAUACAGAAGCAGGCAAGGAGUUCCAGAGUUUACCAGAGAAAGGGAUAAAUGAUUGAGAAUACUGGUUAACUCUUGCGUUAGAGAGGUGGACAGAAUAGGAGUGAGAUAAAGAAGAAAGUCUUGUGCAGCGAGGCCGCGGGAGGAGGGGAGGCAUGCAGUUAGCAAGAUCAGAAGAGCAGUUGGCAUGAAAAUAGCGGUAGAAGACAGCUAGAUAUGCAACAUUGCGGCGGUGAGAGAGGGGCUGAAGACAGUCAGUUAGAGGAGAGGAGUUGAUGAGACGAAAAGCUUUUGAUCCCACCCUGUCUCUAACAGCAGUAUGAGUGGAACCCCCCCAGACAUGUGAAGCAUACUCCAUACAUGGACGGAUAAGGCCCUUGUACAGAGUUAGCAGCUGGGGGGGGUGAGAAAAACUGGCGGAGACGUCUCAGAACACCUAACUUCAUAGAAGCUGUUUUAGCUAGAGAUGAGAUGUGAAGUUUCCAGUUCAGAUUAUAAGUAAAGGACAGACCGAGGAUGUUCAGUGUAGAAGAGGGGGACAGUUGAGUGUCAUUGAAGAAGAGGGGAUAGUUGUCUGGAAGAUUGUGUCGAGUUGAUAGAUGGAGGAAUUGAGUUUUUGAGGCAUUGAACAAUACCAAGUUUGCUCUGCCCCAAUCAGAAAUUUUAGAAAGAUCAGAAGUCAGGCGUUCUGUGGCUUCCCUGCGUGAUAUGUUUACCUCCUGAAGGGUUGGACGUCUAUGAAAAUACGUGGAAAAGUGCAGGGUGGUAUCAUCAGCAUAGGAGUGGAUAGGACAAGAAGUUUGGUUUAGAAGAUCAUUAAUGAAUAAUAAGAAGAGAGUGGGUGACAGGACAGAACCAUGAGGAACACCACUGUUAAUAGAUUUAGGAGAAGAACAGUGACCGUCUACCACAGCAGCAAUAGAACAGUCAGAAAGGAAACUUGAGAUGAAGUUACAGAGAGAAGGAUAGAAACCGUAGGAGGGUAGUUUGGAAAUCAAAGCUUUGUGCCAGACUCUAUCAAAGGCUUUUGAUAUGUCCAAGGCAACAGCAAAAGUUUCACCAAAGUCUCUAAAAGAGGAUGACCAAGACUCAGUAAGGAAAGCUAGAAGAUCACCAGUAGAGCGGCCUUGACGGAACCCAUACUGGCGAUCAGAUAGAAGGUUGUGAAGUGAUAGAUGUUUAAGAAUCUUCCUGUUGAGGAUAGAUUCAAAAACUUUAGAUAAGCAGGAAAUUAAAGCAAUAGGACGGUAGUUUGAGGGAUUAGAGCGGUCACCCUUUUUAGGAACAGGUUGAAUGUAGGCAAACUUCCAGCAAGAAGGAAAGGUAGAUGUUGACAGACAGAGCUGAAAGAGUUUGACUAGGCAAGGUGCAAGCACGGAGGCACAGUUUCGGAGAACAAUAGGAGGGACCCCAUCAGGUCCAUAAGCCUUCCGAGGGUUUAGGCCAGCGAGGGCAUGGAAAACAUCAUUAUGAAGAAUUUUAAUACGUGGCAUGAAGUAGUCAGAGGAUGGAGGAGAGGGAGGAACAAGCCCAGAAUCGUCCAAGGUAGAGUUUUUAGCAAAGGUUUGAGCAAAGAGUUCAGCUUUAGAAAUAGAUGUGAUAGCAGUGGUGCCAUCUGGUUGAAGUAGAGGAGGGAAAGAAGAAGAAGCAAAGUUAUUGGAGAUAUUUUUGGCUAGAUGCCAGAAAUCACGAGGGGAGUUAGAUCUUGAAAGGUUUUGACAUUUUCUGUUAAUGAAGGAGUUUUUGGCUAGUUGGAGAACAGACUUGGCAUGGUUCCGGGCAGAAAUAUAAAGGUGUGGGCCACCUCUCUAUCAUGUAUAGCACGAGAACAAGCUGUGUUAAACCAAGGUUUAGAAGGUUUAGGACGAGAAAAAGAGUGAGGAAUGUACGCCUCCAUGCCAGACACUAUCACCUCUGUUUUGCGCUCAGCACACAAAGACGGGUCUCUGACACGGAAGCAGUAGUCAUUCCAAGGAAAAUCAGCAAAAUACCUCCUCAGGUCCCCCCAACUAGCAGAGGCAAAACGCCAGAGGCACCUUCGCUUAGGGGGAUCCUGAGGAGGGAUUGGAGUGAUAGGACAAGAUAAAGAUAUGAGAUUGUGAUCGGAGGAGCCCAACGGAGAAGAAAGGGUGACAGCAUAAGCAGAAGGAUUAGAGGUCAGGAAAAGGUCAAGAAUGUUGGGCGUAUCUCCAAGACGGUCAGGAAUACGAGUAGGGUGUUGCACCAAUUGCUCUAGGUCAUGGAGGAUAGCAAAGUUGUAGGCUAGUUCACCAGGAUGGUCAGUGAAGGGAGAGGAAAGCCAACAUUCCAAAACCAAGGCAAGUGUUUUCCUUGUCUCUUGAUAAUAAAAUAAAAAAAAAAUAAAGUUUUUCGUGUUGUAGAUCACAAUAUUAAGUGUAAAUCACAUAACAAAGUAGCUUUAUGAUACGUAAAUACCAAGGUAGCAUCGAAAAUAUGUAAAAAAAAAAAAAAAAAUUGGUGUGUGUGUGUGUGUGUGUGUGUGUGAUGCUUGAAAUAACCACUAAUUCAUACGCAACUAUUUGACAAAACAUGUCUUGAUCAGUCGAAUAUAGCAUAGGGCAAGGCAGUUGUAGAAAUCGGGCAAGCGUUUUACAGUGAGUACAGUGAGUCCAUCAUCCGUUGUGGCCUCAGAACAGCCAGCAUUGUGUAAGGUGGCUGCACCGUGAGGAAGCAAAGGUGAAAAUUGCGCAGAGUGAGGAUUGGUUACUGACAAAGCUUGAGGAGCAACGUAGUUGCCGUGUGUGUGUGUGUGUGUGUGUGUGUGUGUGUGUAGGCGUUGUUGGAAUCAUGUGUGGUUGACGGAUAUGAAGGAGAUAUGUGUAGUCAAUUCUUCAGCUCAGACCAAGACAAAAUAUUUUUUUUAUUUUAUUAUUAUUAUUAUUAUUAUUUUUUUUUUUUUUUUAGCUCAGACUUGACCUAUUAACCUGGCCAAACAAGAGGCCGUGCUGGAUCUCGGUAAGCUACCAGGUUAAAAUAACUGUCACUAUACGUAGUCAACGAGACACACAUAUUCUAAUAUAAAGUUAUAACAUGAAGCAUAACAAGAUCGGUAGGUAAUAGUAGUAGUAGUAGUAGUAGUAGUAGUAGUAGUAGUAGUGUGGUAGUGGUGGUGAUAAUGGUGACUGAUGUUGUUGUAGCUGUUGUUGCAUAAAUAGUAGUAGUAGUAGUAGUAGUAGUAGUAGUAGUAGUAGUAGUAGCAUAAGUAGUAGAAGUAGUAGUAAUAGUAGUAGUAAAGUAAUUACAAUAGUGAUGGUAGCAGCGGUACACACAAUAAUAAUUUAUAAAAUAUUAAUUGUUAAAACUAA